UACGUAGGGGGCAAGCGUUGUCCGGAUUUAUUGGGCGUAAAGAGCGUGUAGGCGGCUUGGUAGGUCCGCUGUGAAAACUCGAGGCUCAACCUCGAGAUGUCGGCGGAAACCACUUGGCUAGAGUCCGGAAGAGGAGAGUGGAAUUCCUGGUGUAGCGGUGAAAUGCGCAGAUAUCAGGAAGAACACCGGAGGCGAAGGCGGCUUGCUGGGCUCGGUCUGACGCUGAGGCGCGAAAGCGUGGGGAGCAAGACGG
rnacentral:rRNA from 1 species